UUUUUUUUUUUUUUCUUUUCCUUUCGACCUAUGGUUGUAAGCUCAUUAGAGAGAACUUGUAAACCUCGAGUUAAGUAGUCAAAAGACUUUAGGGAAUUUUAUCAUAAUGAUUUUAUUAAUAUGCUAAAAAUAAAUACAAAUGGAGAGGAAACCAUCUCCUACAUAAUUAUAACCAUAAACAAACUUGAACACCCUCCUACAAUUAAGGUAAGAAAUUAACUAAUUAAAAUCCUAAUAACUGACUUUCAUUGUAUACAUCAUGGAAGCACCCAGAAUAUGGAAGCACCAGCUGUCACAUGGACACACAACAUGGAAACACCAGCUUUCUGACCCAUCUUAGGUUUGAUCACAUUGAAGCUUUCUCUUUGGACCAUGUGUGAAGCGCUUGUAAACUUUCUUAGGCUUGCUAACAUUAAUCUAGAGGGAUCCAGCUUUGUUUGGGCAGAUAAAUAGGUAUGUGCAUAUAUAUAUUAUCUAGUUUUAUGAAAUUCGGAGAACGAUGCCAGUAAAAUCUGCAAACAAGCAUUGCUUGAUGUAGAGACUCCUUAACAUUCACAGGCAACCUCUCUCUUAAUGGUGUAUAGAGUGUACAUAUGUUCCAAGGAUGCAAACAUUUUGAGCAAAUUCAAGUGUGUUCAAGCUUGGUUUUGAGCGUGAACACACUUAAAUGGUAGGUUGCCAGCUUUUUUAGAUUACAAUGUUUAGUGCGUAAAAGUACAAUUAGUGUUGUAAAAGAUUUUAAGAAUUUUUGUUGAACAAUUUUUAUUAUUUUCAAAAUUAAACUAAAUACUCGUAUAUGUGCAUUGUAAUUGACAAAAAGCUAAUGUUUAUCCUUUUUCGAGAAUAGCUUAUGCUACUUCCUUUCAGCCUUCAGUUGCAUGACUUACCGUUCUAACAUUGGUACUACUUCAGGAAUUUAAUCUCUCACCGUGUUUUCUGUUUGGGAGGAGAAGAUGAACUUGAAUCAAAACCUUUGAUUUACUCAUCUUGAUGGAAUCUUAAAGGGGGAAGGGGAACACUUGAAUCUAAGCUAAAGGCCGGAGUUGCAUCACAUUUGUCAGUUACAUUGCAAAUCUCAGCUGUCAUCACAUGUGUCAGUCAUGUUGUAAUCUCCAUUUGUGAACUUUGUUCAUGCAACAUUGCAUCCUGCACAUGUUGUGGUAAGAAAGAGUAGUUCAUGCUUUUGUGUGGUUGUUCAGUAGUUUCAGUUCAUGGAUGAAAAUUUUUCUGCUUAUUUUUCAUCGAGUUUUUUUCCCUCACUUCUCCUUUUGGCUGGCCAAUCAAUCAUAAUCUCAAAUGGGUUCCAAUGAGACACAAUUCUGUUUGGUGGAGGUUCCUCUCAACCUGACUCAUUUGCAGAAAUUUUUGUUUUAGCUGGCGUCUUCCAUUUGACUUGGGGGCCAUUUAGGCAAGUGUGCAUUUUGAAGGCUGGGAAUUCUAAUGUGUUCUAAUUGAAAAUUUAUUGCAAAAAAGUAAUGGCCCGUUAAGUUUCAUAUACACGAGAACUAUAAAGAAUCAGAUUUGAAAUCAUAUGCUUCAGAAUAAUGGAAUUUUCUGUAUGCCUCUACCUAUCUUUACUCAUCUGCGUACUCCACUUCUAAUUGCUUAACAUCAUGAUGCCAAUUUAUCAUUUCUUUGCUGUACCUGUUUUAUCUUCUUUUAAUUGACAUUUGUUUCCCCUGUAAAUAUUGAAUUAUACAAGCAAAGACAUUUGAAAAAACGUAUGUGGACUGCAUAAUGCACAUUAUGAUUGCCAGCUUAUCUGGAUGCAUAAUCUAUCACAAAACAAGUUGAUUUACUAGUACGGCUUUGAAGUUAUAAUCGAUUUUUUCGUAUGUUUCUUGUCUUUGCCUUUCUGUCUCCUCCGUUUGUUUGCCGGUAUUUGUUGUGGAGGGUAGGUUUAUUGGCUUAAGUUCUUGUUGGAGGUGGCAAUUGGCAAGAUGUUUAGCUGAUCAUGGUGUGUAGCUAGAGUGAUCUUCGCAUUGGUGGAUGGUUGUGUGACCUAAUUAUGGUAACCAGAUGCUGAAGAUCUAAGCGUAGAUUGUCUUGACCUACGGUUGGUGGACUGGCCAAGCAAUCGAAAUUCCAAGGCCUAUGGCAGGCAUUAAAAUUUAUGACUGUUUAAUGCAAUUCUUGUUACCUGGUGAAGUUUAUAUUAGCUUGUGAUGUAACAUUUUGAAUUUCGUAAGAAAUUCCUUAAAUCCUAAGUAUUUGUAUUUGUUGGACAGCCUGGUCUUAAAGAAACUAUUUGUCUAAAUUGAUCCCAAUUUAUUAGUAGCUCUAUGGGGAAAGUGCUAAUGGGC
rnacentral:misc_RNA from 1 species